AUGAAGGCCAAACAGCUGCCUCUGAAUAACUCUUCGGAUACAAUCUCAUGGGCACUUGAUAGUAAAGGAAAAUUUACUACGAAGUCGGUUUACGAGUGGUUAGAAAGAAACUUAUCCGGCCCUAACUAUAAAUGGGUGUGGAAAGCCCCCAUCUCGCUGAAAAUCAAAAUUUUCUCGUGGCAGCUUUUUCAGAAUGCUGUGCUUACAAGAGAUAAUCUGCGCAUUAGGAGUGACCUGGUAACCCUACAUGCUCUUUUUGUACAAGUGUGGAAACAGCGAACCACUUGUUCUUUACUUGCCCGCUUGCCCGCACGGUUUGGGGCGUGA
rnacentral:rRNA from 1 species